AACGAACGCUGGCGGCAUGCCUAACACAUGCAAGUCGAACGAGACCUUCGGGUCUAGUGGCGCACGGGUGCGUAACGCGUGGGAAUCUGCCCUUGGGUUCGGAAUAACAGUGAGAAAUUACUGCUAAUACCGGAUGAUGUCUUCGGACCAAAGAUUUAUCGCCCAGGGAUGAGCCCGCGUAGGAUUAGCUAGUUGGUGGGGUAAUGGCCUACCAAGGCGACGAUCCUUAGCUGGUCUGAGAGGAUGAUCAGCCACACUGGGACUGAGACACGGCCCAGACUCCUACGGGAGGCAGCAGUGGGGAAUAUUGGACAAUGGGCGCAGGCCUGAUCCAGCAAGGCCGCGUGAGUGAUGAAGGCCUUAGGGUUGUAAAGCUCUUUUACCCGGGAUGAUAAUGACAGUACCGGGAGAAUAAGCUCCGGCUAACUCCGUG
rnacentral:rRNA from 1 species